CUUUUAUUAUCAUACUACUGUGAGCUGUUUUUUUUUUAGAGAGAAUACAGACGAGACAGUGACAUGAUACACUCUUUAUUAAUAAAUUUAAGCUCUUAAUAUACCUUUUUGUCUAGAAAAUCAGCCCAAACCCUUGCUUGCGAUCAAAGGUAAGGACCGGAUGGCAACAAAGGAGGGUUGUGUUGAUUCCAUGUGUCAUCAAUGUAUUGGAGGAUGAUGAGAGAUUCACAAAUAGGUUUUCCAUUGUGAAUAAGGACAGGGACCAUUUUAUGAAGCAAAAGGCUCUUAUUCAACAUGUUUUCUUGCUUGUAUGCAUAUUUUAUCCCUUUCUUAGGCAAAGCUAUUCUCACUUUCAUUCCAAAAGAACUGGAAAAUAAAUCCAAAAGGAUCACUUCUUCAACCAUUUAUCAUUACUAUUUCAAGAAUGCCCAUUAAAAAGCUUGAAGGUCUCUUUUUAUAGCCGAGUAUGUUCAAUUGGUCGCUCCUUUUAUUCAUUUAUAAUUGUACACUCAUGGAUUAAAAUACUAACCUCAUAUCCGAUGACGUCAAUCAUGCCAAUGAUCUGCCAUCCUCGUCAAAUGCUGAAGACGGCCAAAUAUCAGCAUGUUCUCAGAAUUUAUCUACUAAAAAUUCUGUCAGUGAUGAUUCUACAUGCAACUACCCUACAUUGUCUGCGAUUUUAGGAAUGGAUUCUGUUACGCGAGUAUUGAUGCUGAAGAAAUGCAUAGGCUUGGCAGAAACAAUGAGCACGCUUUCGAAAAAUGAUUGUAUGUGGCUUUUUGCUUUAUGUGCAGCAGUUGAUACUCCAUUACAUGCUGAUACUAAUGCUGCUCUGCGGAGCCUGCUGCGAAAGUGUGCCAGCUUGCGAGCUGCGAAGUCUGAACUUGAUGAUGAGGUUAUAAUGCUGAACAUUCUUGCUACAAUAUCUGGCAGGUUCUUAAGGCUGAUUGCAGUGGUCCAGACUCCAGAGAUGUUAUUUGUUUAUUGUUGCCACAGUUGUUGAUGGAGCCAAAAAAGGGCGAAUUCAAUAUCUCAUGAUGUGGUUUGCUUUGUAGUUCUUCGUCGCAGCUUCCUUGAAGUAGACUUCGCAAUAGACUUGCUUUUUUUGUGUUACCCCACAUAAUUCUGAGACUUUAUCUACGGGGCAUUGACUUAAAAGGAAGACUUGUGGUGUGCAAUGUUUAUUGGAAGUCGCUUUGAAGUUUCCAGCGACGACCA